CCCUCCCUUGCUUUCCUGGACUGUCCCCUAGCCCGCCCUCAGGUCCCUUGUUGGUUCCAUUAGUACAUGUAAGGACCCUGCUGCCAACCUGAACUGGGACACCAGACACCCUUAUUGACACCAGGCAUCCUUCCUCUGCCUGCUGCAUUCAGUCUGGGAGGCUGUGCAGAGGUGUUCUGCAGACCAUGAACUGAACACUAGUCCCAGACAUUCAUGAGCACAGUGUGAGGCUCCUGACCACCACCCAGCAGCCCCUUCUUCUGGCACUAAAGACCCCCAGAGAAGAUGGGGAGGAAAAAGAUUCAGAUCCAGCGAAUCACUGAUGAGCGGAACCGCCAGGUGACAUUCACCAAGCGGAAGUUUGGGCUGAUGAAGAAGGCCUACGAGCUGAGUGUGCUAUGUGACUGCGAGAUUGCACUCAUCAUCUUCAACCACUCUAACAAGCUGUUUCAGUAUGCCAGCACCGACAUGGACAAAGUGCUGCUCAAGUACACGGAGUACAACGAACCGCAUGAGAGCCGCACCAAUGCUGACAUCAUUGAGACCCUGAGGAAGAAGGGUUUCAACGGCUGUGACAGCCCAGAGCCGGAUGGGGAGGACUCACUGGAGCAGAGCCCCCUGCUGGAGGACAAGUACCGGCGGGCCAGUGAGGAGUUGGAUGGGCUCUUCAGGCGCUAUGGGUCAUCUGUUCCGGCCCCCAACUUUGCCCUUCCCCUCACAGUGCCCGUGUCCAAUCAGAGCUCCAUGCAGUUCAGCAAUCCCAGUGGCUCUCUGGUCACUCCUUCCCUGGUGACAUCAUCCCUUACGGACCCACGGCUCCUGUCCCCCCAGCAGCCAGCACUACAGAGAAACAGUGUUUCUCCAGGCCUGCCCCAGCGACCUGCUAGUGCAGGAGCCAUGCUGGGUGGAGACCUCAACAGUGCUAAUGGAGCCUGCCCCAGUCCCGUUGGGAAUGGCUACGUCAGUGCCCGAGCUUCCCCUGGCCUCCUCCCUGUGGCUAAUGGCAACAGCCUAAACAAAGUCAUCCCUGCCAAGUCUCCGCCCCCACCCACCCACAACACCCAGCUUGGAGCCCCCAGCCGCAAGCCUGAUCUGAGGGUCAUCACUUCCCAGGGAGGCAAAGGGCUAAUGCAUCAUUUGAACAAUGCCCAGCGCCUUGGGGUCUCCCAGUCUACCCACUCGCUUACCACCCCGGUGGUUUCCGUGGCAACACCAAGUUUACUCAGCCAGGGCCUCCCCUUCUCCUCCAUGCCCACUGCCUACAACACAGAUUACCAGCUAUCCAGUGCAGAGCUAUCCUCCUUACCAGCCUUCAGCUCACCUGCAGGGCUGGCACUAGGCAAUGUCACCGCCUGGCAACAGCCCCAGCAGCCCCAGCAGCCACAACAACCACAGCCGCCACAGUCACAGCCACAGCCACAGCCGCCACAGCAGCCACCUCAGCAACAGCCCCACUUGGUCCCCGUAUCUCUCAGCAACCUCAUCCCAGGCAGCCCCUUGCCCCAUGUGGGUGCUGCUCUCACUGUCACCACCCACCCCCACAUCAGCAUCAAGUCAGAACCAGUGUCCCCAAGCCGCGAACGCAGCCCUGCACCUCCUCCACCAGCUGUGUUCCCAGCUGCCCGCCCUGAGCCUGGUGAAGGUCUCAGCAGCCCAGCUGGAGGAUCCUAUGAGACCGGGGACCGGGAUGAUGGACGGGGGGACUUUGGGCCCACACUAGGCCUGCUGCGCCCAGCCCCAGAGCCUGAGGCUGAUGGCUCAGCUGUGAAGAGGAUGCGGCUGGAUACUUGGGUACUGUAAUAUUGCCCUUCUGUCUGCCGGUGUCUGCAUCACCCAGGGACUGCCCCACACGCACUCAGCCUGCUUUCUUUCCCACCCGAGAGGCCUUGUGGCCAGGCAUUCCUUUUGGACAUUAAAGUGACGGUUCCCACUCCCUCCUCUCUGCCUCCCUGAUGAAGAGUUGACAAUCUCACCGCCCACCCCUCCCUGUCCUGGGCUCCUCCCGCUCGAUCCCCCACUUCCUUUUCUUCUGCUCCAUGUCCUGUUGAUGGUUACAUUUGUGUAUAAUUAUAUUAUUAUUAUUAUUAUUAUUAUUAUUAUUAUUAUUAUAUUUUUAAAUUCGAAUUCUCGCUUUAGAGAGAGGGAUGCUCUUGCCCCUUUCUUGGCCCCACCAUUUUCACUGGUGGGGGACUCUCUUUAUUGCGGGAAGGGGGGGACACUUUGCACGUUGUACACAUAUGCUGCAGGAAUGGGGGGCGGUAGGCCUUGGAAAAGGACAGGUGCCGAGCCCUGCAUGUGGAGCCCUCCCAUCCCAUUCCCAGACAGGUGUAAAGAACCAAAAACUAUACAACAACUGAAACCCGUACAGUCGACUGAAACCCCAAAGCUGGCUUGAUGAUGGGUUUGUGUCUCAGGGACAGGAAGAGGUAGAUCUCUGCUUCUGGGCUGUUCAUGGCUAAUAACCCAUCUUGGUCCCUCCAGCUUCCUGCGUACACACCACACUCACUGAUUCUGGGUACUGCACCACAAGAUCUGGGUGCUAUGCUUGGCAGGCUGCCUGGGAAUCUGAGGCCAGGGCAGGGGCUUGAAGUAGGAACCUCUCUGGAGGAAUCAUUGGAGGGAGACAGCUGUAAGAAAGAGGGCUAAUGAGGGCGUAAGGACUGGGUGUGAUGAAUUGGGACCCUAUCCCUGGCUUUUCCUUUAAAAUGUACAGUGCAAUAGAUCCCCAACCCUCAGCCUACCCCAACCCUAGAAAGCUGGUCAUGUACUGGAAGAGUUGGGAGAGGACCUUCAUCGAAGUGGCUCUAGGGUGGGUCAGAGUCAGCCUUUGGUUCCCUGGGGCACUGAGGGCAGGAGGCCUGUCAGGGGCAGGCAUGGGGCAAGCACCUCUCUGUUCUGCAUAUCGGUACCCAGAAGAGUGCACACUGGGCACACAGCAUGGUCUGUGGAGCUAGAGGUCCCUAUAGAUGAGGCCCCUCCCCCAUCCUCCUAGCUCCUGCCCCUGACCCACCUCCCAGCUCUUUGCGUGCUCCUUGUCUCGCUACCUCCUGUCCCUCCACCUCCAGGCCACACCCCAAACCUGCCCUCUUGCUACUGUAAUUGUAAAUAGCGACCUUCCAAAAUGUUAGUGGUUAACAGUCCAGGAAACUGUUGUGUUUGUUGUUGUUGUAUUGAUAUGAAAUGAGAUUCUAUUUUUGUCAAAGUAUAUUGUAAUAAUAAUGACUCAAAUGGCC